CCUACGGGAGGCAGCAGUGGGGAAUAUUGGACAAUGGGCGAAAGCCUGAUCCAGCCAUGCCGCGUGUGUGAAGAAGGUCUUCGGAUUGUAAAGCACUUUAAGUUGGGAGGAAGGGUUGUAGAUUAAUACUCUGCAAUUUUGACGUUACCGACAGAAUAAGCACCGGC
rnacentral:rRNA from 1 species